rnacentral:rRNA from 1 species
AUGUCUGGGAAACUGCCUGAUGGAGGGGGAUAACUACUGGAAACGGUAGCUAAUACCGCAUAACGUCGCAAGACCAAAGUGGGGGACCUUCGGGCCUCAUGCCAUCAGAUGUGCCCAGAUGGGAUUAGCUAGUAGGUGGGGUAAUGGCUCACCUAGGCGACGAUCCCUAGCUGGUCUGAGAGGAUGACCAGCCACACUGGAACUGAGACACGGUCCAGACUCCUACGGGAGGCAGCAGUGGGGAAUAUUGCACAAUGGGCGCAAGCCUGAUGCAGCCAUGCCGCGUGUGUGAAGAAGGCCUUCGGGUUGUAAAGCACUUUCAGCGGGGAGGAAGGCG